AAUAAAAAUGAGGGCGUUUCGGGCUUUGUGAUUAUUUAUAUCGGCAAGUUCAGUUCAGACAACUAGUUGGUUCCAUGGUCCAGGGGCUGCUAACAUUAGAAAGUCCUCUGUUGACUACCCGUAAUACAGGUGAAUGGAAACAGAUUAUGAAGAACUAUCAAGUCCAGGAAUAAGAAAUAGAACUUUAAUAUAUUUGCAGUAAACGAAUCAUUAGGUGCUAUUGAUCUUGGUGGCAGCCCAAUGACCCACCAGAAACUGAUCAGUGUAUUCCAUGGAAGUGAAUUGUGGGUAGAAAGAGCAAGAAGAUCAUCACCUGUCAUCACCUAGGCAUGGCAAAGUCACAUCUGGCCUAAGGCACUCAUUAUAUCCUUGUUUUUGACUUGCAAGUAUAAGAAUAAAGUGUCCCAC